AGGUACGUACACGCAACAGAAGGUGCAUGCACCAGGCAUCUGUGUGUGGUCACUUUAAAAAAAAAGACGCUUCAUCCACGCCUACGUUUGCUCUAUCUUGUUUUGCUAUUCUGAUUCGUGAGCUACCCCACUCUUCCCUCCCCCUUUCUCCCUCGAAGGGGUGCCAGAGGAAUCUCUAUCUUUUGGGGAAUCUGCCUGGAUUUGUAUGCUCGCACGCACGCCGCGCAUCAUACGGCGUACAUGCUGGAAGCCGCCAAUCGCGCCACCGGACGCCUUCUGCACCGCAAGCGCUGAAAGGGGGAAAAACAAGAGCACUCUCGAUGCAAACAGAUUUAACGAGAUUACGGUGGCACAUGCCUCUGCCGCGGCGAGGGCGAAAGACGAAUGCCUUCUGCAUGUAUGAGCCCCU
rnacentral:misc_RNA from 1 species